GACGAACGCUGGCGGCGCGCUUAACACAUGCAAGUCGAACGGUGAACCGGGCUUCGGCCCGGGGAUCAGUGGCGAACGGGUGCGUAACACGUGGGCAACCUGCCCCUCACUCUGGGAUAACCCCGGGAAACCGGAGCUAAUACCGGAUACUCCGACCGGAUCGCAUGGUCCGGCCGGGAAAGGUCCGCCGGUGAGGGAUGGGCCCGCGGCCUAUCAGCUUGUUGGUGAGGUAACGGCUCACCAAGGCGACGACGGGUAGCUGGUCUGAGAGGACGACCAGCCACACUGGGACUGAGAUACGGCCCAGACUCCUACGGGAGGCAGCAGUGGGGAAUCUUGCGCAAUGGGCGAAAGCCUGACGCAGCGACGCCGCGUGGGGGAUGAAGGCCCUCGGGUUGUAAACCCCUUUCGGCAGGGACGAAGCGAUCGUGACGGUACCUGCAGAAGAAGCCUCGGCUAACUACGUGCCAGCCGCCGCAGUAACAC
rnacentral:rRNA from 1 species